UGAAUACGAGACGCUACGGCGUCGAAGCAGUCUAUGUCAUACUUCCAAGAAAAGCUCGCAAUGUCAUAAACAAAUAAUGCCUGUACCAUAACCGACACAGGUGGGUAGGUAGAGUAUACUAAGGGGCGCGAGAUAACUCUCUCUAAGGAACUCGGCAAAAUGACUCCGUAACUUCGGGAGAAGGAGUGCCUUAUUUAUAAGGUUGCAAUAACAAGAUCCAAGCAACUGUUUAUCAAAAACACAGGUCUCCGCUAAGUCGUAAGACGAUGUAUGGGGGCUGACGCCUGCCCAGUGCCAGAAGGUUAAAGAAGUUGGUUAGCAUUCGCGAAGCUGAUAACUGAAGCCCUGGUGAACGGCGGCCGUAACUAUAACGGUCCUAAGGUAGCGAAAUUCCUUGUCGGGUAAGUUCCGACCCGCACGAAAGGCGUAAUGAUUUGGAUACUGUCUCGGAGAGGGGCUCGGUGAAAUAGACUUGUCUGUGAAGAUGCGGACUACCUGCACCUGGACAGAAAGACCCUGUGAAGCUUUACUGUAACUUGAAAUUGAAAUUGGACUUUAUUUGCGCAGCAUAGGUGGGAGGCGUUGAGAGUAUUCUUGCGGGAAUAUUGGAGCCAUCAGUGAGAUACCACUCUUGUAAUGUUAGAUUUCUAACUUUGGAUCAUUAUCUGGUCAAAGAACAGUUUCAGGCGGGCAGUUUGACUGGGGCGGUCGCCUCCCAAAUGGUAACGGAGGCGUACAAAGGUUUCCUCUGAACGGGUAGAAAUCGUAUCUAGAGUGUAAAGCAUAAGGAAGCUUGACUGUGAGACCUACAAGUCGAGCAGGGACGAAAGUCGGUCUUAGUGAUCUGACGGUGCUGAGUGGAAAGGCCGUCACUCAACGGAUAAAAGUUACUCUAAGGAUAACAGGCUGAUCUCCCCCAAGAGUUCACAUCGACGGGGAGGUUUGGCACCUCGAUGUCGGCUCAUCGCAUCCUGGGGCGGUAGUACGUCCCAAGGGUUGGGCUGUUCGCCCAUGAAAGCGGUACGCGAGCUGGGUUCAGAACGUCGUGAGACAGUUCGGUCCAUAUCCGGUGUAGGCGUUAGAAUAUUGAGAGGAGCCUUCUUUAGUACGAGAGGACCGAGAAGGACAUACCUCUGGUGUACCAGUUAUCGUGCCAACGGUAAACGCUGGGUAGCUAUGUAUGGAGAGGAUAACCGCUGAAAGCAUCUAAGUGGGAAGCCCACCUCAAGAUAAGUAUUCUCGU
rnacentral:rRNA from 1 species